CUGGACUCCUAUCUGCUCUGCAUGUCUUACCAGGAGCCCCAGCUCUGGGCAGGUGACAACCAGGGCCUGCUGCACGUCUUCGCCAACCAAGAUGGCUGCUUCCAGCUUGUUCGGGUCUGCUAGGACCCCUGUUUCUGUCUCCCCGUUGACUCCUGGGGUGUGGAGGGUUAACCACAGGGAACUCCACCUUAGUGUCACCCAUCCUUUCUCUCCUAGACCUUUGAUGUGGGUCACCAGUCUCAGAUCACAGGGAUCAAACACUCCCUGGGGACUCUGUACACAACAUCUACUGACAAGACUAUUCGGGUUCAUGUGCCCACAGAUCCACCUAAGACCAUCUGUACCCGAAGGCACCACAACGUGUUAAAUGGGAUCUGUGCUGAGGGCAACAUAGUGGUGGCUGCCUCUGGUGGCCUGUCAUUGGAGGUCUGGAGGCUGUUGGCCUGAAGCUGGCUGGACAUGGCUGUGGUGGAUGUUGGUCUACACUGCCUGCUGAGGCUGCCCCAGGCCUCUGCUCCGGAGGAACUUCCUGCUAUUGGUGCUGCUUCUGCCCAGCUCCACAGACUUGGGACCCAGGAAGCCCUAGGGCUGGGCCCACACCUGUGCCUGUGGGUUGACAUUUCUAGUUUUAGCGACCAAGGGGGCUGUUCCCUACCUUCCACUCUUGGGUUUUGUUUUGUUUUGUUUUAUUUUGUGUUGUUGAGACAGGGUCUCAUGUAACCCAGGCUGGCCUCAUAUUCACUGUGUUUGAGGCAGGCCUUGAAUGCCUGAUCCUCCUGCCUGAAUCUUCCAAGUGUUGGGGUUACAGGUAUGGCACCAUGCCUGAAUGACCUGUUUUGUUAGGAUUUGGAUGUCUCUCUCACAGGAAUGAAGAGAAAUAAAUCUACUGUGCAAUUGUUGG
rnacentral:lncRNA from 1 species